rnacentral:rRNA from 1 species
GAUGAACGCUAGCGGCAGGCCUAACACAUGCAAGUCGAGGGGUAACAUAGAAAAGCUUGCUUUUCUGAUGACGACCGGCGCACGGGUGCGUAACGCGUAUACAACCUACCUUUUAGCGGGGAAUAGCCCAGGGAAACUUGGAUUAAUGCCCCAUAGUAUAUAGACUUCUCCUGAAGUUUAUAUUAAACAUUUAUGGCCAUUAGAUGGGUAUGCGUCCUAUUAGCUAGUUGGUGUGGUAACGGCACACCAAGGCUACGAUAGGUAGGGGUCCUGAGAGGGAGAUCCCCACACUGGUACUGAGACACGGACCAGACUCCUACGGGAGGCAGCAGUGAGGAAUAUUGGACAAUGGGCGAGAGCCUGAUCCAGCCAUGCCGCGUGCAGGAAGACUGCCCUAUGGGUUGUAAACUGCUUUUACGGAGGAAGAACCACCCCCACGUGUGGGGGUUUGACGGUACUCUGCGAAUAAGGAUCGGCUAACUCCGUG